rnacentral:rRNA from 1 species
GACGUAGGGUCCGAGCGUUGUCCGGAGUUACUGGGCGUAAAGGGCGCGUAGGCGGUUUCUUACGUUCCACGUGAAAGCCCCUGGCUCAACCAGGGAGGGUCGUGGGAAACGGGGAAACUGGAGGCAGCGAGAGGCUGGUGGAAUUCCCGGUGUAGUGGUGAAAUGCGUAGAUAUCGGGAGGAGCACCAGUGGCGAAGGCGACUACCUGGCCUGUUCUUGACGCUGAGGCGCGAAAGCUAGGGGAGCAAACGGG